rnacentral:rRNA from 1 species
UACGUAGGUGGCAAGCGUUGUCCGGAUUUAUUGGGUUUAAAGGGUGCGUAGGCGGUCCUGUAAGUCAGUUGUGAAAUACGGCAGCUUAACUGUCGAGGUGCAAUUGAUACUGCGGGACUAGAGUACUGAUGAGGUAAGCGGAAUGGACGGUGUAGCGGUGAAAUGCUUAGAUAUCGUCCAGAACACCGAUAGCGAAGGCAGCUUACUAAGGAGUAACUGACGCUGAGGCACGAAAGUGUGGGGAUCAAAACAGG